AUGAUAGUGACCACACCCAUGGAGAUGCUCAAGAUCCAUUUGCAGGACGCAGGAAGGUUGUUUGAGUUCUGUGAACCACAUAAGCAUAGUGGUCCAAGCAGAGUGGUCCAAGCACACACUGCAGCUUCUGGUCCAGCUCCUGGUCCAUCUCCUCCAGCCCAGCCUGCCCCUCCACCUCGGACCCCUGCCGUCCGUAUUACCCUGGAGCUACUGAAGACACGUGGCCUGCCAGGCCUCUACCGGGGAGCAGGAGCCACACUGAUGAGGGAUUUUCCUUUCUCUAUGAUCUACUUCCCGCUGUUCACCAACCUGAACACGCUGGGAAGGGCCGAGUAGUCAUGGAGACUUGCAGGAGCGGGCCCCAUUCCUGCAGUCCUUCACUGCAGGCUGCACAGCCGGAUCAGUGGCAGCUGUAGCUGUCACACCACUUGACGUCAUAAAGACUCGUAUACAGACCUUGCAGAAGGGGGAGGACACAUACCGUGGCAUUGUUGACUGCACACGGAGGAUCUGGAGUAAAGGGCCCAGCAACAUUCCUCAAUGGGGCAACUAGUCGCGCACUGGUCAUCGACCCCCUCUUUGGCAUCGCACAGGGGGUCUACUUCCUGGGUGUAGGAGAGCAGUUGCUAGGGCUACUGGGAUAGCAGCAGCAUGUGUCAGUGUCCCUUACAGUACAAAACAUACUGCUUCAUUCAGCAGUGAAUUGAGGGAGAGAUUACUCUCCAUGGUUCUUAUGCAAAGGCUCCUUGACUUUAUCAUCACUAAGGAAGUUACCAAGCUAUCAUGGUUUGACAAAAGCACUUUAUAUGUAAGUGACAAAUCCAUCAACAUUUGUUUUUAAAAGAUCAAACAUUUUAUUUACUAAUGUUGUAUAAUGCUGACUACACUGCCAUGAGAAGUCUAAAAUGUGUCCGGCAAUUCAAAGCAAUUGGUCCACCUUUCACAGAGAUCCUUUUCGUUUCAUGAAAAAGGACAACCUCCACAUUGGCUUUUCUCCCCAGUGAGUUUCUUUCCCAUCCGUGAGUCCAGAGUUGUAAUCUUGGACUCCUCCAGUUAAUGCUUUAAUCCUAGUCUCUGUACUGUAACCCACUGAACAGCCAGGCUCCUCUCCUACAGGUUAAGACUGUUGGGCCUGCACUCAGAAGUCUUACCUUCCUGUUCUCCACAACUGUAACUGUUAGCUUGUUUUUUAAUGCAUCUUUGAAUUAUAUGUCAUGCAAACAAUAAAAAUUAUGCAAAUAAAGCCUUAUUUCUGCUGAUGGAGUCUCGUCCUAAACAUCUUGCAUUUAUCUUACACAUUUUGGAAUUCAGCAGAAGUUAGUUUGAUGUACAACUUAGUAUAGCCUAUGAUAAGAUCCAUUUAAAAAAGUACCAGGUUCUUGCCAACGCACUUUGGAUUAAGUCCACUAGGUGGCAAUGAAAGCAUUUUGUUUUAUACAUUUUAUGAUAGGGUUGGAAUAACUAUUUUAUUCUUCAUUGGAGAACAUCUGAAUUGAAUGAACAAUCUGUGUACAAACAGUGAAUAUUCAUGUUUCUUUGUUGCAUAUGUAUUGUUAAUCACAUGGGUAACAACAAAAGACAUUCAUUCUCCAAUCCAAUA